UUUUUACUUAUUGCUCACGCAUCAAUGACAUACAGCCUGGCUGGGUACGAUUUCACUCCAACGCGCGGUUUCGACAACCAACUAUUUCGCGAGGAAAUAAUAAUUUCCAAUUGCAUAGUUAUUAUCAAUGAUCUUUCUUUUUUUGCGGGGGAUACACUACUGGUCAUGGCGAUGAACAAGUGGCUCGCCUUAAAAUUCAACCGAUGCCAAAGAACAUUCGACGUAGUACACACACACACAUAUGAAAAAGUGACAAAAAAAAGGUAUGACGCAUUCGCCCUUCGGGAUAUGCUCCAACUGUUU